rnacentral:lncRNA from 1 species
GAAUGCACAUACUUGUCCUAAAUACUGCAUAUUUAAUAAUUUAGGAAACACAUCACUUAAAAAUUACAACAUUUAAAAAAAUUACAACACCUAGAACAAGUUUUGAAAUUGGAUGCAUUAUGUUCAGGAAUCAAGGGCUAGAGGGUUGUGGGUGAAAUGGAGAAUUUACCACCUUGAAAAUGUUUCAGGGGGCUGGCUCAGUGGUUAAGAGAGCCUGUUCUUCCGAAGGUCCAGAGUUCAAAUCCCAGCAACCACAUGGUGGCUCACAACCAUCCGUAACAAAAUCUGAUGCCCUCUUCUGGAGUGUCUGAAGACAACUACAGAGUACUUACAUAUAGUAAAUAAAUAAAUCUAAAAAAAAAAAAAAAAAGAAAAAGAAAAUAUUUCAGUAUACUGUUUAUUUUUAUUGAGAACAACGCUCCUUGAGUCUAAACAACUUCCUACUUCCAUAUUUCAAAUUUAUUUUGGCAAGUACAUUUUAAGUUGUACUUUGACUCUCAGGAGAGCCUGAUGGUAUAACUUGGGUCUCGAGGGUGGAAAGAAAGACUGGCAUUAUGUAGAGCAUCCAGCACUAGACACUCAGACAGUGUGAGCUGGGAAGAUCCAAAUACUCUGCUUGUUCUGUCCUGAAUGGUCACCUGGUGGUCCUCAGAACAAAGAGCGGAGGAAUGCCUUCAGGGUUCACUCCUGUAGGUGCUGGGGAGAGUGUGGACACCACACUGCGGCUUCCAUAUGGGAGUGACAGGAGGGUUCUGCCUACUGGAGUGCAGCUGUGGGCUGGCAGGAGCCUCCGGGAUGUCAAUUUGCAUUGGUAAAGGUAUCACUCUCUGGGGGGUGGGGGGGUGGGGGGGGGAGCUCUGUGUUCCUGAAUCAUGCUUACAUCACUGGAGGAACUAUAUAAAGCUUCUAUUUUUAUACGGUGUCUUAGGCUAAAACAAGCAGGAAGUGGCUGUUCUGAAGAGAAGAGGGAGAUACACAUGUAUUGCUGGUUUGUGUAUGAGUGGUCUCCUUUCGGAGGUAGUCCAGUGCAGCCCACUACAGCCCUCGCAGUGGUUAAACAGCCUGUGUCUGUGUUGUUAGAUGCCACAGCGUCCAGGGAUGGAGUACGUGAUGUCUGCCAAAUCUCAAAAACUACAUUUUAAAUGCAAUUUACUUAAAUAGUCACUUGUGGCUACCAUACUGCACAGCAAGGCCUAACCUGUUACGCUGGGGCAGGAGGACAUUGUCUGUGAUUAUAAACAAACAAAUGAACGAACAAAUGAAUGAAUGAAUUAAUAAAUGGGUAAUUUUUCCUUUUUUUUUUAACCCAAAGAACUGAUUUGCCCUCAGAAUCAUAUAAUUUAAAAAGGUUACCACAUAACACACAAUUAAAACAAACAAACAAACAAACAAACACAACCUAAAACAAAAGGGUUACUAAGGCUGGGAGAUGGCUCAGUGGUUAAAGCUGUUGCUAUCCAAAUCUAAGAACCAGGUGGCUCACCUGCCAUUCCAGUCUGGGUACCCAGUGCAAACUGGCUAGCUAGCCAGGCCUACCGGAAGCUGUUGUCUUGAAUAGGAGAUAGAGCCUCGGUCAAUAAAGUGGGAAGAUGCUAGAGUAGGAGUCAAACUCUGGCCUCUCCAUGGGGACACACACAGGUGCACCCCACACACAUGCAAAACCACGCAACACAUCCGCGCACUCACAGAAAAUGGAAAGAAGAAAGAUUAAUAUUGGCAUUUCAGUAUUUUCAGCGUUUUUUUUCCUAUCUCAGUAGCGUCACUUCAACAGAAAGCAAACUGUCCAGAGGCAGGCGAAAGGACGAAACAUCUUUCUUCCUCACACUUAAAACUGUUUCAUCCGGGCGUGGUGGCGCACACCUUUAAUCCCAGCACUCGGGAGGCAGAGGCGGGCGGAUUUCUGAGUUCGAGGCCAACCUGGUCUACAAAGUGAAUUCCAGGACAGCCAAGGCUACACAGAGAAACCCUGUUUCAAAAUAAACAAACAAACAAAAAAAACCAAAACAAAACAAAAAAACCUGUUUCAAAUUGAUGAUUAGUCCUAAACAAAUGACUAAGAUUGUAUUUCAUACUCAAGUACAGGCUUUAUAUCAAGAUUUGAAAACUAAAAUGUGAAAAGAUGGAAGGGUAGAAUUUCAUACAAAUGGACUUCUUAAUGUAUGUAAAUUCUAUUUUAAUAAAACCAGCCUUUGCGU